rnacentral:sRNA from 1 species
GUGCUCAACACCAACAGCCGGUACCUGCAUGACAACAUCGUGGACUAUGCGCAGAGGCUGUCAGAGACCCUGCCGGAGCAGCUCUGUGUGUUCUAUUUCCUGAAUUCUGGGUCAGAAGCCAAUGACCUGGCCCUGAGGCUGGCUCGCCACUACACGGGACACCAGGACGUGGUGGUAUUAGAUCAUGCGUAUCACGGCCACCUGAGCUCCCUGAUUGACAUCAGUCCCUACAAGUUCCGCAACCUGGAUGGCCAGAAGGAGUGGGUCCACGUGGUAUGCACUGCCCAACUCAACAACAGGUCGGUGCCUGUCCCCAAGCCCGGAUAACAUGGCGCUGUCACUCCCCACAGGCACCUCUCCCAGACACCUACCGGGGCCCCUACCGGGAGGACCACCCCAACCCAGCUAUGGCCUAUGCCAACGAGGUGAAACGUGUGGUCAGCAGUGCACAGGAGAAGGGCAGGAAGGUAACCAUGUCCGCGCCUGUCCAAUCCAGCCAACAGUGAAUGUCACCUCCAUUGUCACCACCACUGUGCUAGAUGCUGGGAACCCAGAGAGAAAACCAAACGAGGCCCCACCCUCCA